GUGGAGCUGAGAUCCCCUGUGCUGUACUAGGCGUUUUGCUGCAUUCACUUCUGCAGCAAGGCACGGAAGAGCAUUUGGCUUAAUCUUUUCUGAGCUGACAGUUUGCUAUUUGUGGCAUUUUCUCGGAUUACAUACUCUGUGUAGCUGACAGGAACUUGUGAUUUUCAGCAAGAGGAACGCAAGGAAAUGACACACAUCCCUGACAGUCUGAUAACGUGUCCAGAGUGGCCUAUUCCCAGAUCCCUGAAACAUGGAGCCUAGAGAGGCUGCCUCUGCUGGUGCCACCACCCGGGCACAAUUGUGCCUGGACUUGCUAUCCCAGCUUCCUAAAAUACUACUUCAUUUUUGUCCGAGUGCAGAUUUGCAGGACUAAACCCAAAGAGCUGAUCUUAUUUCAAGCCUGAAUUUUCUUUUUUCUGUGGAUUAGAAAUAGCACUGCUGAAAUUGCCCGGGUCUAAAAUUCAGCAGAGAGAAAAAAAAAAAAAAAGCCCCGUGUGUUGUGUUAUUUUCUGCUAUUUUUGAUUCCUGAGAUUUUUUCUGGAGCCUUCAAAUUUUGUGCAACUAUCGUGUCUCUUGGAAAAUUGUCCUGUCAGUCUAAAUUGUCUUGCAUUUGCUGUAAGCUCCCGAGGCUAAUUGCUGCGUAGUGGCACAGUUAGUCCUUAGCUGUCUGUGUCUCUGGGCUGAAGAAUGAUCGUGUGCGGGGCAGAUCCACCGUGGCUGACUGACUCCAAGCACGAGUUUGGCCUGGUUGGGCUUUACUCCUUCAGACACAGCACUGGGCAGCUCGGUAUCCCUGAUUCCUUCAGGCUCACUUCUAAUUUGCACAAAGCUAGACAAUAAUGACUUGGAGAUCACAGGCAGGCACGUAGGAGCACAUCUGGGAUGAGACUGCACCUUGUUGCCUCCCAGAGGGUCCAAGCAAGUGGUAGUUUAUGCGGACGUCUGUGGAGGCUGCUCUGAUGGAGGUAGGUCUCUACAUCAUGCUGCGUGUGUCUUCAGGGAACAAGAGAUUCAAAAAUCCACACAUUGUUUUGUAGCCCCAUCCCACCCCAUGUUGUUUGCUGUAUUUAACUAAAACACAACACAAGCCCUUAUUUUUAGAGAUGAUAAAAUGCUGAUUAAAAAAAAAUAUUUAAUUUUAUCCAAUCUGUCAUUUUAAAGAUGAUUUUUUUCCAGUUUGGGAACAUUUUGUACUCUUUUUACUACAACUCAGAAGACACACCGAAGAGAGAUCUACAGACCCUGAGAGGAGAUUCUUUGUGAGAAGUCAUUAAUAUUGAUUUUACCUGACACACCUGCAGGAAGUGAACAAAAUUGUUCCUGUAUACAAGUAAUCUCCACUGCAAUCAGUUUUCUGGCUUGAACUGAACAAUUACUAAUCUAAACAGGAAUAAAACAGGAAUAACUUCCAUUUCUUUUGGUGCUUUUGCUGGUCAGCUGCAUUGCUUUAUUUGGCCUUUGCUUUUUGUAGUUCUAACACUCCUGCAGGUGGAAUCAGCCAUCCCUCAUCUGACAUAGCAUGAAGGGUGUUACAUAUUUUCAACUUAAAGACUGUCAGCAUUAGGAGAGUUUGGAGUUAAUAUGAGUAUUUAUUGCUUUUCGCUAAAGACAGUGCAGCAAAGAAACCUAUUUUCUUCAGAUAUUAAUUAGAUAGGUACAUAAUUAAACAUCUUAAAUAAUGAAAUAGAUGCUGUGUAAAAGGCUAAAAAUAACUGGCCAUGAAUUAAUCAUUCAGCCUGUAUUAAUAAAUAAGCUCUGGAUGUCAGCUCACAAAGAUUUCCUGGCAGUAAUUUGACCACUGAUAUGCUCAUCACAAACACAUCAGACUCCCCAUCUAGACACUGCCCAGAUGCAUUUUGUUGAGCUCCUGGAUCACUGCACCUUGCAGAGCCAGAGGGUUUUGUUUACAUAUUGGGUCUGGUCUGAUUCUCGUAUGGACAUCUUGGAACAUGGGUUUAGACAGAAAUAGCACAUUGCCCGUAAAUAUAGUGGAGAUGUGAUGUGAAAUCGUGCGUAACUUUGUGAGAGAGAGCAC
rnacentral:lncRNA from 1 species